CAGCUAUGAAUUGCAAAAUAUUAUUUUGUAUCUGAAUACAAAUACAGAGCAAACCGUGACAGUUACGCUCCAAUAGUGGCCUAAAUAUUCGGAGUUACAUUUAUUCCUUCAUUCUUAUAAUUUUCACAUCAUUAUUUCAUUUUUCCCCUCCCCUUCAAAUUGACAUAUUAAAUGAACUCAAUGAACGCCUAAAUCCCAGAUCCGGCAAGCCGGCGCCUAGAGGCAUUUGAAACAGAAACUUGACCUAGCCUAUCUGCAUCGCUUGUUUCCAUCCUUUCUUUGAGUGGCAUAUAAUGUCGAAGCCAUGCC
rnacentral:misc_RNA from 1 species